GAUGAACGCUGGAGAAGUGCAAAAUACAUGCAAGUCGAGCGAACAAAAAAACAGAUAGAUAAACUAACAUAAGAGGAGGAAAGAAAAGAAACACAUGAAUCAACUCACACUAAGACUGGGAUAACUACGGGAAACCGGAGCUAAUACCGGAUAAUAUAUUGAACCGCAUGGUUCAAUAGUGAAAGACGGUUUUGCUGUCACUUAUAGAUGGAUCCGCGCCGCAUUAGCUAGUUGGUAAGGUAACGGCUUACCAAGGCAACGAUGCGUAGCCGACCUGAGAGGGUGAUCGGCCACACUGGAACUGAGACACGGUCCAGACUCCUACGGGAGGCAGCAGUAGGGAAUCUUCCGCAAUGUGCGAAAGCCUGACGGAGCAACGCCGCGUGAGUGAUGAAGGUCUUCGGAUCUUAAAACUCUGUUAUUAGGGAAGAACAAAUGUGUAAGUAACUAUGCACGUCUUGACGGUACCUAAUCAGAAAGCCACGGCUAACUACGUG
rnacentral:rRNA from 1 species